GAGCCUCUGAGACUCCAGGUUGCUGCCUGGGGGGCGCGCAGUGCAGAGGAGCCCCCGUGGGAGCCACUGUCCGGGACACUAGAGGUGGCUUUCUGAGCUGGGACCCCGCGCGGAACCAGCUCAGCCAAAGCAGUCAAGCCGCCAGGGGCUGCCAGAACCCGCCCUGGUCUCACCUUUAAGAUCAGGCUGUGCUGGGGCGCCAGCAGGUGCUCCACGCUCUCUUCGACCUGGUAGCGGCUGAAGCUGGCGCCGAGCAGGAUGGAGAUGAGCACCGGCGCCGAAGCAAAGAAGACCGGGUGACUGGCAAUGAAGUGGCCAAGCCUGGAGAAACACGUCCUCAAGCCCCUGUGCAGAACCUGCCGCAGCAUCCUAGAGCAGAGCGGGCGCGGGAGGAGGGCGAGGCGCACGCUCGGCGCGGG
rnacentral:lncRNA from 1 species